rnacentral:rRNA from 1 species
AGUUGAGCGAUUUACUUCGGUAAGAGCGGCGGACGGGUGAGUAACGCGUGGGUAACCUACCCUGUACACACGGAUAACAUACCGAAAGGUAUGCUAAUACGGGAUAAUAUAUUUGAGAGGCAUCUCUUGAAUAUCAAAGGUGAGCCAGUACAGGAUGGACCCGCGUCUGAUUAGCUAGUUGGUAAGGUAACGGCUUACCAAGGCGACGAUCAGUAGCCGACCUGAGAGGGUGAUCGGCCACAUUGGAACUGAGACACGGUCCAAACUCCUACGGGAGGCAGCAGUGGGGAAUAUUGCACAAUGGGCGAAAGCCUGAUGCAGCAACGCCGCGUGAGUGAUGAAGGCCUUCGGGUCGUAAAACUCUGUCCUCAAGGAAGAUAAUGACGGUACUUGAGGAGGAAGCCCCGGCUAACUACGUGCCAGCAGCCGCGGUAAUACGUAGGGGGCUAGCGUUAUCCGGAUUUACUGGGCGUAAAGGGUGCGUAGGCGGUCUUUCAAGUCAGGAGUGAAAGGCUACGGCUCAACCGUAGUAAGCUCUUGAAACUG